CCUCAAAGAGUCGUCAAAAGAAGAAGGCGGCGUUCGAACAGCUGAAGAAAGAUGUUGUUGAAUUGAACAUGGAAAAGAACAACUUGAAGAA
rnacentral:ribozyme from 1 species